rnacentral:lncRNA from 1 species
UAUCAACUCGCCCACUCUCAAACACUAUGCCAUUCGGCAAUUAAACGUGAUGAUAUAAUCACUAGACUGAAUGUCAGAAAGUGGCAGUACCGUUCAGCUUAAAUGACGUAUGGAAUUGUGAGGUCCCUAUAAAAAACAAGCAAUCAUGUGGAAAACGGCAAUGACAGAUCGACGUUUCGCGCUUACCUUUUAGACCACCUUAUUAUUACAUGCCAACUAUAUAAUUUGUACAGAGACACAACAUAAACAGCCGUACCUUGAACAAUAAUGGUUUAAUUUGAUGAAUUGUUACUUGGAUUUUGGCACUCAUACC